CUGAAUAAGAACAUCUUUAAUUUUGUGACUAAGAGCUGUAUCUGUUGUUUUCCAUUCUCCCUGGGGGGACAGUAGGAGUCUGAUGAAGCUUCAAGGCCACAGCUGAGAUCAUCAGUGUACUUGGCGCUGUACUCGGGACAGCAAAUGUCAGUAACAUUUUUAACCAACACGAGGAAACGUUAUCGUAAAAUCAAUUAGCUAGAGCCCUGUAUCUAAGCCCACGGCUGAGGCCGAAGGAAGGUGACGCAGCGCUCCGCGGGAGGCGCGCACGGCCCUGGCGCACUGAAGGGUAUUUGCUGCCAUCUAGUGGCACGGCGGAAGGCGGCAGCAGCCCGGGCAGGCCGGGCCCCGUUCGUGCUCGCCCGUGCGCUGCGCCCGCGACCCUGCGGCCGCCACUGACCCGCCUGAGGAGCUCUACCUGCGGCACCGCUGCUCAGGAAACGCCACAGUUUAAUUUCCUAAAGGUUCUGGUUGAAUAUACGUGGGGUUUUUCAUUAUUUUCGCCUUCUCGACCGUUUUGCUCCAGGCCUGCUACAAGUAGUAAUACGUCUAAUUUAGAUUGUGGUUUAGAUUCCUAGAAAACCUGCCAAAUUUCUAGGUUUAAGAAUUACAAAAAGUAUCAGAAGGUGAAAGUACCGAGCAAUUUGAAGGCACAGAAUGACUUCUUUAAGCUUAACCACGCUUGCUGAAAGAUUAAAUCUAUUACAUUUAAAUGAAAUAGAGUAAUUAAGUAUUAAUAAUAUAUAAUUGCCUUUUUCAGGAUAAAAUAUAUAAUAGUCAAAGAAGGUGACAUUUCCAGUGUUAUCUAUGUGAUAGAAUGCUAUGAGCCCAUUGACAAUUUCUGUUCAUAAAUCAUCAUUCCUUGGGAAAAAAAGUUAACAUCCAAUUUUACAAUUUCUACUGCAAAUUAAGUGGUAGGUUCUCCUGCAGCCAAGCGUGAAGACACCACAUACAAACCACUGACCGCUGCCAAUGACAAACCUCACGUGUGUACGUGUGUGAAUGGCAGGGAGAGAGUGCUAAAGAGUUAUUGCGCUUCACUAUGCAUUGUUUUAGGGCCUCUGUAUGGAACUGUCUUUCUAGCGUGCCACAGCCAGUUUCAAAGGAACCCUAAUUCAUUUUUACCUAUGAAAUCAGCCUACAGACCUCCAGACACUUCAUUAGUAAAGGGAAUAGUGCUGAAUCAUCAGCAACUUCCAAGAGGGACUGCCUCUCUUCUUGCUGAAAUAUGCCAAAUUCCAAUUCUUUCUGGUCUGACCAGCUAGAAGUCAAAUAAAAAGAAAAUAAAACAAAAAAAAUCUAAGAACCAAACCUAAAAAAACCCCAACUUCAUGUGUUUUUUUUUCCACCAGAUUUUUCAGUUGUCAUUUCUAAAAUACACAGUAUAUGAGUAUUUUCUAGAGCAAGAAGUGAAUUAGAAAGUCUUUUUUUUAGGCUGAUGGGCUUGGGUCUAACUUUCUGCUUUGCAGUUCUCUGUGUGAAAAUUGUAGCAUAGGAAAUGGCAGCAAAUAAAUACCAAAAGAACAUUUUGCUGAAUUAACAUUUUACAGACAGUGUGGUAUGAACUUUCUUUGCAGUAGGAAAGGAUGAAGCAUCAAAUAUUGAAGUCUCCACCUGGACAACUAAAAAUUAUUAGAUGCUUUCCCUUGGAUGGGCCAUAUCUUAUGUGAAAGUCCAGAAAAACAAGAAAACUUAAUGCCUUGAAAAAGACAAACUCAAGGAAUGUAAACGUCUAGAGUACAAGUUAAAUUGUCAAAGGUGCAGGGUUGUUAUUGUUUACGGAAUGCUUCUGGACCUUAAUAUCAUUGUUUGCACAAAUGUGCAAAGCACAGAUCCGAGUUUGAGCUUUGCUGUUUGGCUGAGUGUUCCAGCUCCUGGUGGCUCUCCCUGUGAGCGUCUCUUCCAAGGGAUGGUUGGUCACAGUGUGGGUAAACCCCUCGAGGCUUCCCACUGCUGCCUUCUCCUUCCCCCAGAUACGGUUAUGAUGUCUCCAAAGUGCAGGAGAACCUCCCAGUGGCAAACACAGAGCUAUACUUUAUGCUGCCUACAAAGGAUAUAUGCAAAAGUGGAGGGAAAUCCGCUGAAUAGGGAAAUCUGAGUCCAUCACCUGUGACAAGAGUAACUAUCUGUUAUGUGACAGAGCUUUCUGGUUUGUUCAGCCCUUAAGUGCCUGUGUGUCUUGAACCACCAGAAAUAUCCCU